GAUGAACGCUGGCGGCGUGCUUAACACAUGCAAGUCGAACGAAGCACUUUAUUUGAUUUCCUUCGGGACUGAUUAUUUUGUGACUGAGUGGCGGACGGGUGAGUAACGCGUGGGUAACCUGCCUUGUACAGGGGGAUAACAGUUGGAAACGGCUGCUAAUACCGCAUAAGCGCACAGCAUCGCAUGAUGCAGUGUGAAAAACUCCGGUGGUAUAAGAUGGACCCGCGUUGGAUUAGCUAGUUGGUGAGGUAACGGCCCACCAAGGCGACGAUCCAUAGCCGACCUGAGAGGGUGACCGGCCACAUUGGGACUGAGACACGGCCCAAACUCCUACGGGAGGCAGCAGUGGGGAAUAUUGCACAAUGGGCGAAAGCCUGAUGCAGCGACGCCGCGUGAGCGAAGAGGUAUUUCGGUAUGUAAAGCUCUAUCAGCAGGGAAGAUAAUGACGGUACCUGACUAAGAAGCACCGGCUAAAUACGUG
rnacentral:rRNA from 1 species